UCCGGUUGAUCCUGCCAGAGGUUACUGCUAUCGGUGUUCGCCUAAGCCAUGCGAGUCAUAUGUUCUUCGUGAACAUGGCGUACUGCUCAGUAACACGUGGAUAACCUGCCCUUGGGUCCGGCAUAACCCCGGGAAACUGGGGAUAAUUCCGGAUAACGCAUAUAUGCUGGAAUGCUUUAUGCGUAAAAUGGAUUCGUCUGCCCAAGGAUGGGUCUGCGGCCUAUCAGGUAGUAGUGGGUGUAAUGUACCUACUAGCCAACAACGGGUACGGGUUGUGAGAGCAAGAGCCCGGAGAUGGAUUCUGAGACAUGAAUCCAGGCCCUACGGGGCGCAGCAGGCGCGAAAACUUUACAAUGCGGGAAACCGUGAUAAGGGGACACCGAGUGCCAGCAUCAUAUGCUGGCUGUCCGGGUGUGUAAAAUACACCCGUUAGCAAGGGCCGGGCAAGACCGGUGCCAGCCGCCGCGGUAACACCGGCGGCCCGAGUGGUGAUCGUGAUUAUUGGGUCUAAAGGGUCCGUAGCCGGUUUGGUCAGUCCUCCGGGAAAUCUGAUGGCUCAACCAUUAGGCUUUCGGGGGACACUGCCAGGCUUGGAACCGGGAGAGGUAAGAGGUACUACAGGGGUAGGAGUGAAAUCUUGUAAUCCCUGUGGGGACCACCUGUGGCAAAGGCGUCUUACCAGAACGGGUUCGACGGUGAGGGACGAAAGCUGGGGGCACGAACCGGAUUAGAUACCCGGGUAGUCCCAGCCGUAAACGAUGCUCGCUAGGUGUCAGGCAUGGCGCGACCGUGUCUGGUGCCGCAGGGAAGCCGUGAAGCGAGCCACCUGGGAAGUACGGCCGCAAGGCUGAAACUUAAAGGAAUUGGCGGGGGAGCACAACAACGGGUGGAGCCUGCGGUUUAAUUGGACUCAACGCCGGACAACUCACCGGGGACGACAGCAAAAUGUAGGCCAGGCUGAAGACCUUGCCUGAAUCGCUGAGAGGAGGUGCAUGGCCGUCGCCAGUUCGUACUGUGAAGCAUCCUGUUAAGUCAGGUAACGAGCGAGAC
rnacentral:rRNA from 1 species